rnacentral:rRNA from 1 species
GGAAUCUUGCACAAUGGCCGAAAGGCUGAUGCAGCGACGCCGCGUGGGCGAUGAAGGUCUUCGGAUCGUAAAGCCCUUUUCUGCGUGACGAGGAAGGACGGUAGCGCAGGAAGAAGCGUCGGCUAACUACGUGCCAGCAGCCGCGGUAAAACGUAGGACGCAAGCGUUAUCCGGAGUGACUGGGCGUAAAGGGCGUGCAGGCGGCGGCUCAAGUGGCUCGUGAAAGACCCCGGCUCAACCGGGGGGGGUCGGGUCAGACUGAGGCGCUAGAGGCAGUCAGAGGGACACGGAAUUCCGGGUGUAGUGGUGAAAUGCGUAGAGAUCCGGAGGAACACCAGUGGCGCAGGCGGUGUCCUGGGGCUGAACUGACGCUGAGACGCGAAAGCAUGGGGAGCGAA